UCCUCCGCCUCUUUCUCUUUUUCUCUCUUUGACACAACCAAUUCCAAACCAGAUUUAUAAUCUAGUAUAAUUUUGAUCUCGAGAAGGCAAAUGAGGAGUAAUUAGUGAUGGAGACUUAGGAAACGUGAGCUAUUGUUACCCAGAUGGAUGCUGAAGAGAGAUUCAUUGGACAUAAGUGCUCCAUUCAGCUGGAGGUGUAGAGGUUCUUCUUGCGAAGACAUGGGAAGGGAUUCUGCGAAUUACAAAUUGAUAUUUGGUGAGUCUUCUCUGAGUGGUGAAGUUAUUAACGAGAAGAGAUUCAAACAUUGAAGGCACAUGAAUUGGAGAAAGACGCUUAGAUCAAAUACCUCAUGGAAUGCAACAAGCUCUUCAUCCUUAUUCGGUAAACCCUGAGCGUUGAUGAUGAAGACGAUGCAACACAACCAUAAAUGUUUUAUAAUGUUGUUAAAAAGUUAUAAAUACUGAUUGUAUCACAUUUGAGAGUGAAUUAAUAAAUUAUAUUUUUUCAGCAA